CUGAAUUAAUUCAAACCCUAAAAAGAUUAGCCAUCUUCCUCGUACCCCUUUUAUGGUCCAUUGUGUCUCUGCGGGCCGAAAAUCGUCUUCGCAGGAGGUGGAGCACCAAACGACCCCAAGAUUUUGGCACAAGCUCCCUUUCCCCUCCUUUUUCCAGCACCCAACUUAGUUUUUCUCGAAUCUCAUCCAAUCGGUUUGAAUCCCAAUCGAACUUUUCCGGCCAUCCUAAUAUAAUCAUUGUUCUAUUAGAAAAGGUGUCUAGGCUAAUUGAUGAUUUUAGUAAUUGUUUUCUUCCCUGUUAUCAUAAUUUUUUAAUUUCUUAUUAAAUUAUUUUUUACUGAUAUUUCUCUAGUUCAAUAUCGUUUUGAUUGUGAUUGGUUGUUUGUGUUAGUUUUUAGCAUAAUGUUAUAUCGAAUAUUGUUUGUUAACUGACAGAAUAAUAAGAGUAUGGGUAGCGAUUACAUUGUUACCAUUAAAAUUUAUAUUUUUGUUAGUUGACCAUGGUUUAAUUAGGGUUGAGGUAGGUUAGUUAUUUCAGGAAUAAAGCAGGGGUGAUUGAAGCAAUUCAAGGGUAGAGGAUCUUUUAAAACUGAACUAGAAUUCUCUAGAAUCCUCUAGAGUGGGUUUAAUUUUGAAUCUUAGGAAAACAUAGUGGGUUUACUUGUGUAACAAGUUUUAAAAUAAAGGACCAAGGUUCAAAAUAUAUAUGAACUAACAAAGAAAAACUGAAAAUCUGAUAGGCCUCACUUGUGCCUAUAAAAGGGCAUGAUCUUUAAUUCAUUCACAAGUUUUUCAACUUCACCAUUCCCCCAGAAACACUUCCCUUCAGAUCUAGUUUAGAUUUUGAUUUUCAAAUUACUAGUAGUUUAUAAUUCUCUUUAGAUCUGAAAUUUUUCCCAGAAAAAUACAAAAACAAAUAGAAAAUACAGAAAUAACCAAAAAACAGUACGAUUCCAUCGAGUAUUAGGCUAAUUUUGAGUUUUUCAGUAAAUACAACGUAUUUUCUAGUUUGAGCUUUUGAGUAAUGUUGGGUUUUUAAAAGGGCCUGGGUAAUUUUCUAGUGGAUUUUGGUAGUAUCAAGCUGGAAUUUGGCUGUUUUCACUGGUUGUUUCUUCUAUUAUUCGUUGCAGGGUAGCUGUGGUGUUUUGAGUUAUAACUUGGCUCAACUCUGUAGAUUUCAACUAUUGCUCGACUGUUUUUCCUGCUGAAUUCUCUUUCUCUUAUUUCAUUUCAAAUCCGGGUAUAUCUCAUGCUCAAAUGAUGCUGAAGAGCACCCUUACCUAUAGAAAAAAGUUUGAAGUAUGGAUGACCAAAACAUGCAUGCUUAUAUCUGAAUUUUCACGUUUAUUUGCCUAGUUUUAAAUUUUUUGUGAUGAUUCAUUCGAACUAGAGUUUCAGUUGUAUUAAUGACCAAACAUGUAUUAAUGUUAAAUAGGACUGUUUAUAUUGAUUAGGUUUGUUUGAGCUUAUUGAAUUGAGAAGAGGCUUCAUGCUAGGUUGAUAAGCUAGCUCAUAUUUGUUUAAUUAAUGUUUGUUAGUUAUUUCGUUUAUCUGUUAAUUGGCUCAUGUUAAUUACUCCAUAUUUGUUUAAAAGUAACAUUCUGAAGAUUGGCAUUCCAUGAUUAGCGUUAGGCAUUAUUUUAAUUUGAACAUCGUUUCUAGGCUCGAACGUAGGCCCAAUGCAAACAGCCGGGCAUGUUGUCCUUUUAAUUCCACCAUUUCAAGGCCCAGACAACCAUACUCAGCCAUACGGCUGAAAUACCUUACCAACACCCCGGGCCUGGACCCUUCGCCACAGGCCCAAAUUGUCUCAUCCCUUUGUAUGUGUGAUCGAGGCUGCUUUUUCCUACUAGAUUGUUAGGCCUAAGUGAUUCGUUUACAUGAACUUGGCCCUUUCAAAUAUAUUACUUAAUUAGAUUUCUCUUUCUUAUAUUAUAUUAUAAAGACAAUUUAAUAGAAAAUAUAGUUCACUUUAGGAUGUCCUUAAAUCAAAUGAGACGAGUCUUGCCAAAUAAAACGCAUAAAUUAUGGGGCCCUCAAUAAAUGGUUACAAUAAAAUACAUAGAAUUCGAGAUGAGCCGUUUAACGAAUUUCACGGUUUUUUUUCGAAAAUAAUAACGCGUUAGUCACUUUAGGCGCGAUUUUAACAUUCUUAAACUCGAAUGCGCAUUUAUGUGACCCAAAUUGAAAUCUCACCGGAGUCGAAAUGUGUCGACAACCACGGGUGCAUUGAUGUGACGUGGUUUGAAACGCAUUUUCACAACGUUGCAAUUCUCCUUAAAGUAAUCAUGAUAAAAGCGGUUAAAAAGGUCACAUAAGCUUAAACAUGUUUUGAAAUCAGAUAAAUUCAAAUACAAUAGUUGAGCGACCGUCCUGGAACCAUGGAACCCGAAAAUGAAUAACAAUUUCUCCUGGGUUAACAGAAUUUCUUACUCGGAUUUUUGGUUCGCGGACUGAUAACAGAGUCAUAUUUUUCUCGGUUCGGAAUUCAACCGGUGACUUGAGACACCAUUAAUCUCCUAAGUGACGACUCUGAACUUUAAUAAUUAAAUCCCGUUCCGAUUGUCUUUUAAGUGAAAAAACUCCUUUAUGCCCUAACGGGUAUAGUAGAAAAGGAGGUGUGACACAUGGUCUAAACUUGCAUUGACUAAUUCUAAUGGGCAGAUCACGAGAAUUGAUAAUCUGCCCUAACCGAACUCUAGCGAUGAGCCUCAUAUUGGGCAUGAGUUUAUUGUAUUGAACUCUCAAUUUCCCUAACGACACGAGGCCAUGGCGAGUUUGUUGUAGUGCCAAGGCAAGUCAUCCAGCAGCAAGGCUACUGCAAGGAGCACCUGAUGCUUCACUUUCUUUCCUUUUCUCAACUAUAUCCUCCAUAUCCGUUGCCAAAAGUUGCAUGUUUAACUAUGCAUUUAACACUAUAUAAGUAUAACGCUCAUCUUAGAUUUAAUCAACUUACAAAUUUUUGCAGGGCGAUAUACUUAUAUGAUGUAAAUAUCCUUCUGUCCCAUUCUACGUAAUCACAUUCCUUUUUGUCUGUCUAAAAAUGGACACCUUUCGAUAUAUAAAUAAUUGUGCUUCUCAUUUAACUCUCAAUGACAUCGUUGAUUAGCAAAAAAAAAAAAAAAUCUCGUGAGCAUGUUUAAAACCAAGAUUUUUAAAAAUAACGUAACGAUCCGACCGGUCGUUUCGAGCUUUUGCACUUUGAUCACCAGCUUUUGAACUUGUUGCCAUGUGUAAUGUGCUAUGACUGAUGUAGAUCAUUGGUUUUGGUUUUCAAGGAAAUUUGAACGAAUUUGGAAGAACAUUCCUCAGCUUGUUGUUUAAAUUUUAAAGGUUUGACCAAGAUUUAACUUAUUUGUAUAUGAGCUCGGAUCGGAGUUUUUAUGAUCUGGUUAGCUCUAUUGGGUUAUUUGGGACUUAGGAGUGUGAUCAGCAUGGAUUUUGGAAGCCCAAAGUAGAAUUAGGCUUGAAUUGGCGAAAUUAAUAUUUCAAUAUUUACCAGUUGAUAAGUGAAAUUUUGAUAUAGAGGUCGGAAUAAAAUUCCGAGAGUUGCAGUAGCUUUUUUGUAUCAUUUGUGAUGUGUGUGCAAAAUUUCAGGUCAUUCGGACGUGGCUUGGUUGGGUUUUUUUAUCAAAUGCGUGUUACGGAAGAAUUUAGAAACUUAUGCUUGCUUUGGGUAAUUCGAUGUUGUUUAUGGUGUUUUGAUGAUUGGAACAAGUUCGAAUAAGGUAUUGGGUCAUGUUUGUGCUUUCGAUUGAGGCCUUGGGGGCCUUCGGAUGAUUUUGGGUGGUUAACGAAAAAGUUGAGGUGUAAUUGCAGCUUCAGAUUUUGCUGCUUCUUGUAUUUCCUCACCUGCGGUUUGGGGAUCGUAGGUGCGACGUCGCAUAUGCGUGGUUUUGGCAGCAGAAGCGGGAGAGGAGGAGAUGGUCUGAGAUCGCAGAAAUGGUCAGGUUAGCUACAUUUGCGGAGUCGCAGAUGCGGAUGUUGUUAGAUGCGGGGCCUGAUCCCUUAUGUGAUUUCCGCAGAAGCGGACGUGUGACCACAAAUGUGGUACCACAGAAGCGGUGGAGGGGUCGCACAUUCGAAAACCCCUAGGCAGAAUGUAUAUAUAUCCUUUCUUUGCGAUUUUUGAAGCGUUUAGCCAUUUUAACUUCGGAUUCAGAGCUUUUGGGCGAUUUUGAAGGUAGAUUUCAAGAGAACUUCGAUAAGGUAAAGAUAUUGGACCUAAAACACACUACUAUGUUAAUAUUUCAUGGAUUAUGACUGAAAUCUAAGGAAUUAAAGGACUAAAAAUAGAGGUUUAUUGCUUUAGUUUAAGAGGGCUUAAAUUAAGGAUUUGAGAGGGUCAAUUGAACCAUGAUUCUUGUAUUUUUAAUAUGUAUGAACUCGUGGGGAGACAAGAAAUCUAAUGGUGUAAAAAAUUUUGAACUUCAAAAAGUGGGCCCGGGGCUCGGGUUUUGCUAAUUUCUGGAUUUUUGGUGUUUUUUGAUUAUUUUUGCUUGGGCUUUUCUCCCUUAGCAUAUUGUGAUGUAUUUGUUCUGAUUAUGGAUAGAUUCGACGCAUGUGGAGGCCAAUUCGAGGGGCAAAGGUUUCGUGAUCUAGAGAUUUCGCAGGUUCAAGGUGAGUAAUGAUUGUAAAUGAUGUCCUGAGGAUGUGAAACCCCAUAUUUUCACAUCGUAGUGCUAUAUUAAGGUAGAGAACACGCUUGAUGACGAGCGUGGGGUCGUGCACUAUUGGAGAUCGUGACUUGGUCUGUCCCGAUUACUUAUUUUACCUCGUAUUUGACUGAAACUUAUUUGUUAUCAUCAUUGUUUGGGUUGAUUGCCAUAUUUGGGCUUCGGGCCAACUGUUUGGACCCUUCGGGAAUUUUUAUCACUAUUUCCUCACUGUUUUUACUUAUUACUUGAACUCAGUCAUGAUGUUUUUCACUGUUUCACUACUCUGUCAUUUUACUCAGUUUUGAGACUUAAAUGAUAUUUUAAAUGAUAUUUUGGGCUGAGAAUUACUGUUUUACAAAUGCCCGAGGGGCUUGUGAUGAUUUUCGGAAUGAGUACGACUGAGGGCCAGAUGUGAGGAUACACUGAUACUGAUAUGAGGUUGAGAGCCCGAGAUACAUAUAUACGCCACGAGGUGGCUUGGCUGAUAUGAGGUCGAGGGUCUAGAUUUGAUGCCACGAGAUGGCUUGUUAUUACGCAUGCGCCAUAAGGGGACCUUCCCAGAGUCUGUACAUCCCCAAUGAGUGGGGGUACCUAUUGUGAUGUGAGAAACAACCCGAGGGGCUGAUUUUGUUCUAUGUGAAAGCCCGAGGGGCUGAUAUUGUUCUAUGUGAUAGCCCGAGGGGCUGGUAUUAUUCUAUGUGAUUGCUCAAGGGAGUGGUAUUGUUCAGAGAUAUAGCCCGAGGGUUGGAGUUAUUGACAUUGAGCGCAAGGGGAGAAUCAUUUAUGUUUAACUUUAAUAUUUAUUUGUGCUUUUACCUGUUAAACUAGGGUAUUUGUGUUCGAGGGGCGGAUUUCCAUGCUUAUCUGCACUAUUGUUUUGCACUCAUUGCAUAACUGUUGAAAACGCCUUUUUUUGAAGAAGUUUACACUAAGCUAAAUUGUUUUAAGAGAUUUUAAAGCUUCACCACUUUCUAACUUAUUUUUGAACUGCUUCUAUAUCUUGAUUAGCUUUACGUGAUUUCUUGCCUUCAGUAUUUAUUUACAUUUGUUACUCACUGAGUUGGAGUACACACUUUUCUCCUGCGCCUUGUCUACAGACAGGUAUUGAUGCAACUGGUAGCGGGUUUUGGCUGAUCGGAGGCAGAGUUAUCAAAGUUUAGCAAGGUGGUUGCCGGCGUUCGCAACACCACUUUUCUCCCUCUUCGUUUAUUAGUCAUCUUUAUAUAUUUCAGACCUUUUAACAGUAUUUAUACUCUAAUAGAUGCUCGUGACUUGUGACACCCCGGUUUGAGCUGUGUCGGGUUGUACAUUCACUAAUAAUUAACAUUAAAUCAUGUAUAGACUGCUUUUGAGAUGUUUAGCUAUUUUAAAAAGGUGAAUUGGUUUUAGUUGGCUGGCCUUGUCUUCACAAGAGGCACCAUUACGACCGGGUCGGGGUUUUGGUCGUGACAAGUUGGUAUCAGAGCGUAGGUUACAUAGGUCUCACGGCUCCUAAGCAGGUUUAGUAGAGUCUUGCGGAUCAAUACGGAGACGUCUGUAUUUAUUAUUGAGAAGCUACGAAACCUUUAGGAAAACUUCCCACUCUUGAAUUCUUAUCGUGUGUCCCUGAUUCAGCUUGAAAAGUAACUCUUAAGUUCCUUCCACCUGUUUGUAUGCACGCAUUAGCGCUCAGUAUCAGAUGCGCCUUGAUGGCUUGUGAUUCCCUGAUCGAGGGGCAAGAUGUAUUCUGUGUGAGUUUGAUGUUGGGCCAGUGUGGAGGACUUGAGGCCGGAUCUUUGUCUAUGUCUUGAGCAUCAAGGUGUUGAUUGAGUGUGCAAGUGUUUUUGAACUUAUAUGUUCUGUAGUGUCCCUAUAAGUGGAGUGACAGUCAGAUAACUAUGUGAUGAGUCCGUUAGGACUGUGAGGGUUAUCCAUAUGAUUUGGAGGCGACGAGAAGGGGCUGCUAGAAGAUAGAAGAACUAUUAGGUGCUGGAAUUCCAUCUUGAUUCGAGGUAUAGCCCCGAGUUAUGGGCGUAUGAAGGAUCUUUUCAUGUUCCCAGUUGAGAGUGAAGUAAAUUUCAUGUUGCGGUAUGAGUUAAGACUUAGGAAGACUAAGUGACUGCAUACAGUUUAUGACAGUGGAAGGUAUACAGAAAUGUUAAUUGAAGGCAAAGCAGGUGGUUUAUCUCUUGCGAAGAGUUCUGAGGUUGUGUGAUCCUUAUGUGACUGUUAGAAGAUCUCAUGUGCAAGUGAAAUGUAGUGUGAGAUAUAACGAAUAUAUAAAGUACUAGAUGACUUUGUUUUCACAGGUUUACAAGGGAUUUGAAUUUAAUCUCAUUAUGGAUUUGUGGCGUCAAUAGAGCAUAUGCGUUAUGAGUUAUUGAGUAUGACUUGAUCUAUGGUUUCGAGCCAAGUUGGGAGUCUACUAUUAGUUAGGCGAUUGCAUGGCUAGGUGCUACGUUAGUCCUUAUUUGAGACGUGUGGGUGAAUCAGUUAUGACUUGCAAAAAUUGAGACCUAGGAUGGCUCGAGUAAAGGAAAAUUUUGACAAAGGUUAUAUUAUGCUUCCUAGGGUAUGAGAAUCACGGAAGGUAUGGAGUUGUUGUCAGUAAAGGAUGAUCGAUGAAUAGAGUAGGAAAGGCUUGGUUGUAUUGGGAUGAGGUUGCAUUCUGCAGUGUUUGAGUGUUAAUGAGGCACAUGUUGUUCGGUUCUUUUGAUCGGGCUAAUCGUGGUUUGAGGAGAGUGGAUGACUUGCGAGAAUGGUUCUAAUGUAUUCAAGAUUCUGCAUAUAUCAAUUGAGUAUUCUAAAGUUCCAUAUGUGAUUAGAAACUGAGUUUAAUUGGAAGAUGUCAACACUUAUGGUAUUUCUUAUAAAUUGGGAGAUUCUAUGUAUCAGUAUCAUGAAGGUAAAGGUAAUGGAUUUAGAUUCGUAGGGAGUCUUCAGAGAAAAUAUUUUUGAAUGUGGUGCUUUUGGGAAUAUCUAAGGGAUUAUUCAUCGGCUUAUGGGUUUUAGAUAGUGUGGUUUUAUGCUUGGAUCUCGUGUGGUGAGCCUGGGCUGAGGAAUUAGGGUGCUACAACAAGAGGGAAUAUCAAGUUGAAGAUGAAUCAGCAGGAAACUCGGAUAAAUGAUAUCUUGGUAAUGGGUAUGUGACCUUACCUCGAAAUGGUAAGGAUAUGAUUAGCUCUUUGGAUGCUUACGGGGUAAUGAGUAUCUGCAGGUGUUUCGCGGCAUUUCUUUUGGGGUUUUAGUGACAUGUGUCACUCAGUUGAGUUAGAAGGAUCCACGCCUGAUGAGUUAGUGUUGUGCAAAUGGAAUAGGGAAGUUCUUGGCUAGUGGAAUUCAUAGUUGCUUGCGGUUCGGAAAGGAUAUGAAGUUCUCAUGGUUAUCCUAGGAUGGUAUCGGUUAUGCGGUAUGUUGUAAAUGAUUGAGAAUUGUGUAUGUAAGGCUGUGGUUCGGUCCUGAAAGGAAGGUCAUAAAAUUCUUAAAAAACAUGAGCAGUUUUAGAUGAUUAGAGGAAUGAUCUUUAGAUGAUUAAGGAUAUGGUAUUGCUAAUUGGAGUGAUUUGAUGAGGGUAUAUGCUUCACAAAAGGCAAUGUGGUUAAGUUGAUGGUACUUCGGUACUAUUGUAGCACUUUCUUAUUAGGUCGACUGCUGAUAAUCGGGUCUGCUCGGUGGCAAAGAGGGAAAUCUAGAGUAUCUUUCGUGGAAUAAUUGGGUAUUUGAGGUGUGGUAUGCAUUUGGACCGUGGAACUGGGAUCAUGUAUUAUGAUUCGUGUGCUAUAUGGAGUUAUAGACUGGGAGUUCUCGUGUUCAAGCUAUGUUGUGGUGGUAGAUCGCAUGUAUCGGUACUGUUUAGUGACUAUCGGGGGAUUGGAGACCCAAAAAGAUUUUUUGUGCUGAGUAUGUUAGAUUUUAGAUGUGAUAUUGGGUUCAGACUGGUUGUCUUUACAUUAGGUUAUUCUGUACUAUUGCGCUACGGGCUGUGUCAGAAAUACCAUGGAUUGAGUGGGCGAGGUGCGACGGAUUAUGUCAUAGUAGGGUUGUUUUAUAUUUCGAAGAUCCAGCGGACGGCUGGGAAGGAUUGCUUUUCUUAUUUGGGCCUUCGUGAUGGAUAGCAGUGUAGAGGCUCUACCAUUGAUUCAGUUCUCAUGGUGAGGGACUUUUCGAAUAUGUUCUUAUGGCCGACCAGGUUGUUGGUUUCAGUAUUGAUUUAGUGUCAGGCACCGCAUCGUAUGGCACCGGCAAACUUAUAGAGGUGGAAGGAGCAGCUUCAGGUUUCCUUGAUAAGGAGUUCAUUGGCAGGACAAUGUGGAUGAGUGUUCUAUCUUGAGUCGGCUUGGUUUGCUCUGAAUUGCAUUAUUGAGGCAGGUGUUGACUCGACCAUUGUUGAGCUUAACAAUGAUCUGGGAGACCUUGAAUUACCUUUCCGUAUUACAAGGUGGUACGAUUUGUUGGUUAUAGGCACAUAUCGUGCGGUUCAUUUGGGGUCUCUUAGUGGAAGUCAAGCAGGAAAAGUAAUUGGGCAUUGCUCAGUGAAUGGCGUAUCAGGUUAUGUCCUAUCGAGUUGCUUGGCACAUAUUAUUGUUUCACUAUAGGUGUAAUGAUUUGGUUUGGUUCUAGACAUCAAAUUGUGCGUGGUUGUCGCUUUCGCGCAUAGUGACUUGAGGUGUUUCAUAUGGAGCAGUGUUUGAUAGGAUCGCGCAAUGCAACAAAGCUAUAUGGAGAUAUGACCUUACGGGUUAGAUUUGUGUGUUCUGUUUCUAUGAUGUGAGACGGGUUCUCAGCCUUCUAUUGUGGCGGUACUGUUAAGCUUGAGGUACAUCUCUUUCAUUUGAGUCAUUUUCAUGAUUUGAGUAUGUUUGGACUAUUGCUUAUUGGUGCGCGUAUUGUUCCAGUUAAGGCUUAGGCCUGUAUUGAUGUGUCAUCUCACCAGAGUAGUGUCUUGGAUCGGGAGAGAUCAUUGGGAUCAUCAAUACAUACAAACAGAUUCAAUUUCAGUAUAUUGGAAGGAUAGUAUCGAGGUUCGAUUCGGAAAUUGCUAUGGUAUUUGCCAUAGGAGAAUUGGCUUGAUGAAUGGUUGACCUGGGAAAUGGUUGUGGUUUAUUGCAUGUUCAUUUACUGCUGGCGAUAUAUGAAGGUGUUGGAUUCAGACUUGAGUUGAUAAGAGAUUUUCUACCAGUAUUAAGAUGUUGUAGGCAGCCAAUAUGAAUAGAAGUUAUUGUUAUUAGUGUUUGUGUUAUGUGGUAUAUCAUGUAUUGCACCUGAGGCUGCAGGCAUGAGUUAUUACAGCUCGUUCGAGCCUAUUCAGAGUAUAGGUGUGAGGUUUUGAUCGUAUUGAUGGUUUCAAAAGUGAAAAUGUGGUUCUAUGAUUAAUGGGCCAGAUUGGAUGGUGUAUUUUCAGUUACAAUGUAUUAUCGUUCCUAUAUGAGAUAGGGUGACGUGGGAUCACCCCCGGGUAUAUGCAUGGUAAGGUUAUUUAGCGAUUGUUGUCUUUUAGAACAAUUCUAGGUACGUUUGAGGACGAACAUAUGUUUAAGAGGUGUCGGGUUCUUUUAAGCUUUUGCACUUUGAUUGCUAGCUUUGGGGCAUGACUUUCCCCGUGUAAUGUGUUAUGACAAAUGUAGAUAAUUGGUUUUGGUUUCUGGAGAAAUCAAAACGAAUUUGGAAGAACAGUUCUCUGCUAAUAGUUUGAAAUUUGAAAUGUGUGACCAAGAUUUGACUUGUUUGUAUAUGAGCUCGGAUCAGAGUUUUUAUGAUCUUUUAGCUCCAUUAGAUGAUUUGGUACUUAGGAGUGUGAUCGGAAUGGGUCUUGGAGGUCUGGAGUAGAAUUAGACUUGAAUUGGCGAAAUUGAGAUUUUGGCAUUUUCCUAUUGAUAUGUGAGAUUUUGAUAUAAAGGUCGGAAAUAAAUUCCGAGAGUUGCAUCAGAUUCAUUGUAUUAUUUGUGAUGUGUGUGCAAAUUUUUAGGUCAUUCGGACGUGGUUUGGUUGGGGUUUUUUUUAUCAAAAGCGUGUUUCGGAAGAUUUCAGAAACUUAGGCUUGAAUUCUAUGAGUUUCGUAUAAUUUGAUGUUGUUUGAGGUGUUUUGAUGAUUGGAACAAGUUUGAAUAAGGUAUUAGGUCAUGUUUGGGAUUUUGGUUGAGGCCUCGUGGGACUCGGGAUUAUUUCGGGUGGUUAGCGGAAGAGUUGAGGUGUAAUUGCAGCUUCAGAUUUUGCUGCUUCUUGUAUUUUCGCACCAGCGGUUUGGGGACCACAGGUACGGUGUCGCGUAUGCGUGGUUUUGGCCGCAGAAGUGGGAGAGGAGAAGGUAGUCAAAGAUCACAGAAGCAGUCAGGUUAGCUGCAUCUGGGGAGUCGCAAAUGCAGAGGUUGUUUCGGAGAUACGGCGUCUGGUCCCUUAAGUGAAUUUUGCGGAAGCGGACGUGUGACCGCAAAUGCAGUACCGCAUCGGUGGAGGGGUCGCAGAUGCGAAAACCCUUGGGCAGAAUGAAUAUAUGUUUCUUCUUCGCGAUUUUUGAAAGUUUUAACCAUUUUAACUUCAGACUUAGAGUUUUUGGGCGAUUUUGAAGAGAGAUUUCAAGGGAACUUCGACAAGGUAAGGAUUUUGGAAUUAAAACACACAUCUAUGGUGAUAUUUCAUGGAUUGGGACUGAAAUUUAAGGAAUUAAUGGACAAAAAAUGGUGGUUUAGGGUUUGAGUUUAAGAGAGCUUAAAUUGAGGCUUUGAGAGGUCAAUUGAACUCCGAUUCUUGUGUUUUUGAUAUGUAUGAAUUCGUGGGGAGAUGAGAAAUCCAAAGAUGUAAAAAAUUUUGAGUUUUAAGUGUGCCCGAGUUUUGCUAAUUUCAGGAUUUUUGAUAUUUUUUGAUUAUUUUCGCUUGGGUUUUGUUCCAUUAGCAUAUUGUGACGUAUUCGUUCUGGUUUUGAUUAGAUUCGACGUGCGAGGAGGCCGAUUCGAGGAGCAAAGGCAUCGCGACCUAGAGUUUUAGCUGGUGAGGUGAGUAAUGCUUGUAAAUGAGGUCUUGAGGGUUUGAAACCCGGAUUGCACAUACACACGCUUGAUGAUGAGCGUGGGAUCAUUUACUAUUGGGAAAGGUAAGGACUUUGGACCUAAAACACACUUUUAUGGUAAUAUUUUAUGGAUUGGACUAAAAAAUCUAAGGAAUUAAAGGACUAAAUAUGGAGGUUUAGGGCUUGAGUUUAACAGGGCUUAAUUGAGGAUUUGAGGGAACAAUUGAACUCCGGUUCUUGUGUUUUUAAUAUGUCUGAACUCGUGGGGAGACGAGGAAUCUAAUGAUGUACAAAAUUUUGAGUUUUGAGAAGUGGGCCCGGGACUCGGAUUUUGCUAAUUUCAGAAUUUUUGGAAUAUUUCGAUUGUUUUUACUUGGGAUUUACUCCCUUAGUAUCUUGUGAUGUAUUCGUUCUGAUUUGGAUAGAUUCGAUGCGUGUGGAGGCUGAUUCGAGAGGAAAAGGUGUCGCAAGCUAGAGAUUUUUCUCGUUCGAGGUGAGUAAUAAUUUUAAAUAAUACCCUGAGGGUUUUAAAUCCCGGAUUUGCACAUCGUAGUUCUAUAUUAGGUGAAGCACACGCUUGAUGACGAGUGCGGGGUCGUCCACUAAUGGGGAUUGUGACUUGGUCCGUCCCAAUUAUUGAUUUUACCACGUAUUUAGCUGAAACUUAUUGUACUAUUAUGAUUUGGGCUGAUUUCCAUAUUUGCACUUCAUGCCAACUGUUGGAACCCUUCGGGGAUUUUUAUAACUAUUUCCUCACUGUUUUGACUUAUUACAUGAACUCUGUCAUACUAUUUUCCACUAUUUUACUACUCAUCCAUUUUGCUCAGCUUUGAGACUUAAAUAAUAUUUUAAAUGAUAUUUUGAGCUGAGAACUACUGUUUUACUAAUGUCCGAGGGGCUUGUGAUGAUUUUCGGACUGAGUACGGACGAGGGUCAGAUGUAAGGAUACACUGAUACUGAUAUGAGGCCGAUGGCCUGAGAUACAUAUAUACGUCACGAGGUGGCUUCACUGAUAUGAGGCCGAGGGCCUAUGUUUGAUUCCACGAGAUGGCUUGUUACUUUGAUUGGGCCGUUAGGGGCCCUUCCUGGAGUCUGUACACCUCUCGUGAGCGUGGGUACCCUUGUGAGAUAUAGCCCAAGGGGCUGAUAUUGUUUCAUGUGAUAGCCCGCAUGGAUGGUAAUAUUUUAUGUGAUUGCCUGAGAGGCUGGUAUUGUUCUGAGAUAUUGCUCGAGGGGCAUAGUUAUUGAUAUUGAACCCGAGGGGUGAUUCUUUUUAUGUUUAUCUUUCAUAUUUAUUCGUCAUUUUACCUAUUAAACUAUAGUAUUUCUGCCCGAGUGGUGAAUUUCUGUGCUUAUCUGCACUAAUUGUUAUGCACUUAUUGUGUAACUGUCGAAAAAGCCGCUUUCGAAGAAGUUAAAACUGAGCUAAAAUAUUUUAAGAGAUUUUACAGUUUCAUUGCUUUCUUACUAAUUUUUAAACCGCUUCUAUAUAACAUAUUGAUUGGAUUUACAUGAUUUCUUGCCUUCAGUCUUUAUUUACAUUUGUCACUCACUGAGUUGGAGUACUCACAUUACUUCCUGCACCUUGUGUGCAUGCAGAUUUAGGUAUUUAUGUACCUGGUACUGGGUUUUGGCUAAUCGGAAGCAGAGUUAUCGGAGUUUAACAAGGUGGCUGCUGGCGUUCGCAGCACCGCUUUUCUCCCUCUUCGUUCAAUAGUCCUGUUUUGUAUAUUUCAGACCUGUUAACUAUAUUUGUACUCUAAUAGAUGGUCGUGAUUUAUGACACCCCAGAUUGGGUUGUGUCGGGUUGUACUUCCGCUAAUAAUUAUCAUUAAAUCCUGUAUAGAUUGCUUAUGAAAUGUUUUGCUGUUUUAAAAAGAUGAAUUGGGUUUAGUUGGCUGGCCUUGUCUUCACAAGAGGCGCCAUCACGACCGGAUCGGGGUUUGGAUCGUGACAAAUAACUUCUAGUAUCUUAAAUUUAUUACCCAAUCAAACACCUUCAAUUCACAUAAAAUAGGAUGGAACGAAUAUAUUUUUCUUUAGCAUUUAGUAAUUACUUAGUAUAUUAUUACGUAAAAUAUAUACUUUAUUAAUAUUCUAGUUAAAUUAGUUUUUCUAAUUCAUAAUUCUUAAAAUUAGUUUUCCAUUAAUAUUUUUAACGUACAUUUAUAAAUAAAUAAAAAUAGCAUUUUUAAUAAAAGUAUUUGAAAGGAAUUUUUGUGGAGCUCACGCACCAUGCAGGCAUGCUGCUCUAUACAUCCACAUUUUAAAACACUGAUAUUUAUUACGCCAAAUGACCUAGUAAGUAGGGUAGUUAUGUUCUGCCUAAAUGUGAGAGCGAUUAUAUAUAUGAUACAAAACAAUAUCCGAGUAUCUAAUUAGCGGAGACUUGCUUAAUUAAUCGAUGGGUUUUAUUAAUAUUCAUAUGGUAUAAAACGUAUGAGUUCAAAUAAAGUAUAAAACAGGAAACUAUACAGCCUUAUAAGAAUGUCGUUUUAUGAUGUUCGAGAAUGAGUAAAUAGAUUGUUCGUCAAAAAAUAUUAUUGUUUGGCCAAACAUUGUGUGUAUGUGAGAGAGAAGCAACUAACUAUUAAUAUGAGAUAAUUAAUAAAUUGUAGGAAAAUUUAGGUAAGAAUUACAAUAUAUAUCUACUCUUGGAUCAUAGUUUAGUUUAUUGGAGAUGGUUCAGUUGCAUGAGGUUGAGUAUAGAGCAAGGUCAAUAAUUUUAUAUAAUUUGUUAGCCCACCAACAUUCAUUCAUUAGAGGGGUCACACACAAAUAUUGUUAGGUCCUGUGUUUAUUAUCCAAGCAAUUGGAGUCAGAGGAAGAAGAGAGGGAUGGUCCUUAUCUAAUUUGUUGUUUAUUUAUUUUAUGUUUUUAUUUUAUUUACUUUUUCCUUUAGUUUGUCUUAUUCAUACUGCAAGUCUUUGUUUUGUUGCUAUAUAUGUCUGAUCCUUUAUUUAAAAGACCAAUUGGAUUUUAUAAAGGACAAAGAUGUUACAUCUGGUUAAAGAGUCCCUUUCUAGGGUCUUUUUAAUGUAUUAAGAGAUUCCCUCGAAUGUCUGAUAAAUAAAAAUCUUUUGCUUUAUUUUAAAAGAAGAAACAGAACAAAAUCAUUCUCUCGAAGAUCUUAUGAAAGGCAUGGAGUAUUUCCUUUUCGUUGUACCAAUCAUUAUAUAGUUUGAACACACUUGUUUAAUUUUAAAAAAGAAGAAAAAUAAAAAAGAAAGCCUUGAAAAACUAGUUGUAUUCUUAAGGUAAAUUCUCAAAUAAUUUAACUACUAUAAAGUUUGUUUAAUAAUCUACCAAAAAUUGAAAAAUUUAUUGGAAAAUUGGGAAAUAUUUAGUUAGAGUGUUCUUUUGUCUCAAUUAAUUCAUUAUUGAAUCCAAUUUCAUGGAGGAACAAUGGGUGAAAACCAUUUACAUCCCCGUUGUUUGCUUUAAAAAUUAGAUGCAUCCUCAACUUUGAACAAUUAUUAUUCUACUCCUCAUAUCAAAUGUGACUUCUUAAAAUAUCUAUUUUACCCUUUAUAAUUUUAUCUUUUAUUUUUAUUCAUUAAUAUAAUGAUAUUUAUUUAAUCAUGAUUUAUGUUAUCGACUGACCUAUAGUUAAGGGUAAAAAAGAUAUUGCGUAGGAUGAAAAGAUGAUGACAAUUUAUUUAAAGUUGGAUAAUAAGUUUGAUUUUUUGAGUAAAUUUGAAAAAUGUAAAUGAUUUUCACCAUGUAACAAUCUUCAACAAUAAUAUAUAUGAUAACAUAAAUGAAACAUAUAAUGGUGGAUCCAUACAGACCUCCUACAUGUAUUUGGCAUGAAGUCCAUAUCAAUAUAAUUAAAGUUUGAACGAGAUAGCAAAAGAAUGGAGUUCCACAUGGAAGCAUUAAGUUGAUAUAAAGGAGAAAAGAGAUGUAUAAAUAUUUGUUAGUGAUAAUAAUCCCACUACAAACAUGUAUAUUUUAAAGCUAAGAAGAAAAAAAAUAGGUGGUGGGACUCGUAGGUUUCCAAACAACACUACCACAUCAUAUGGAUUAUAAGAUACCACAACAUAGUGAUGUCAAUUGGUUGACUAGGAUGUUGAUUGUAACAAUCUAACUACAUUUUCAUUUAUGUUGUGCAAAACAAUGGGCUCAUAGUCCAUUACUUUUGGUGCUUUUUUAGAGUUUCAAUAGAUAUGGAGUCUUUCCCUAAAGUUUAAGUUACGUAAAGUCAAAAACAAAAUUAUCUAAUCAAUGCGAUCUAGUAAGUUAUAUUCCUUUCGAUCUACGACAAGUGACGAAUUUACAUUGCGCAUAUUCAUUAGGAAAUUACAAAAUAAAAAUAAAAAUAAUUAAUGUAAUUAAUUACCCAUAAUUAAAUGUUGCAUCAUAGUUAUAGUAGCACUUACUUCUCUUCUCAAAUCUGUGGAAUAAGUGACUUUUUAGGAAUACAUACAUAAUGGUAAUUUUGAAAAACAAAUUGAAUUUUUUCUUGAUUAUAUAAAUGAACACUUAUUUUGGACCAAAAUAUAAAAAAAUAGGGGGGCAGCCUUAUAAGAAUGUCGUUUUAUGNNNNNNNNNNNNNNNNNNNNNNNNNNNNNNNNNNNNNNNNNNNNNNNNNNNNNNNNNNNNNNNNNNNNNNNNNNNNNNNNNNNNNNNNNNNNNNNNNNNNNNNNNNNNNNNNNNNNNNNNNNNNNNNNNNNNNNNNNNNNNNNNNNNNNNNNNNNNNNNNNNNNNNNNNNNNNNNNNNNNNNNNNNNNNGGGGGGAGGGGGGGGGUGCUUUUGCAUCUAUUCCCCGCUUUGGGGUCACAAUUGAACCUAAAGUUUGCAAGAGUACCCACUUUACGAUCAACUUCAGACUUAUCAGGUCUGAAGUUAAAAAAAUAUCUAAAGUGAAAAAAUUACACUUUGGAUGAACUAAAGCCCAAAUAGGUCUGAAGUGUCAACAAUGGUUUCAUGCACUUAAUGUCACAAUCUGAAGUGAAAAAUUGCAGUUUAGAUGCACUUAAAGCCAAAAGGUCUGAAGUGAAACAAAUGUUUUGCUACACUUAAGACUAAUAAGUCUGAAGUACAAUUGCACUUCAGAUGCACUUAAGGCCAAAAAGUCGGAAGUGCAAUAAACGUUUUGCUACACUUAAGGCCAAUGAAUCUAAAGUGAAAAGUUGCACUUCAGAUGCACCUAAGGCCAAAAAUUCUAAGUACAACAAACGUUUUCAUUCACUUAAGGCUAAUAAGUCUGAAGUGAAAAUUGCCCAGAAAUAGAAAUUUGUUCUUCAAAUUAUAACAAUCCAAUAUACAAUUCAAUACCUAAAUCUACACUGAAUGAGCUCAAAUUUGAAAUAUAACCUCCAAAUAUCACCAGGAACAAACCCAAUCUUCAAUUUGUCAAAACAACAAUAAAUCUAAUGAACCCAUUUUGCAAUUAAGAAAAAUAAGAAGAAGAAACCCUAAGCAAUAGUAAAAUAAAAUAAAGUAUCAUAACAGCUCAUCAUCAGAAAAUAUCAUAAAAUAUAUUCACAGCCACCAUAUAAAAUCAUUGUCACCCGAAGAAGGAGAAGGAGAAGAAGAAAAAGCAAUAGGAGAAGGAGGAGGAGAAAGAGACUAUCCGCCCCCAAACUAGCUAAGAGAACGAAAGCCUUCACCAGUGAAUAGUUUCCAACACUAUUCAUCGACCAUUUCUCCGGAAUCCGGCGGUGGAUAAUAGCAAUUUUGGUAUCAAAAUAACCCCAUCCUUAUUGUGAUCAUUCUCCAACUAUUUUCAUUUCCAAAUCUAUACUCAAUUCUCCAAGAUCCUAAUUUGAACAAAGAUCACUGUAGCUCGACGAAUUUUCAGUUUUCUUCAUUCUAUCGGCUGAUUAGAGAGAUGGAUGAAUAUUUUUCUCUAUUGAUCAAAUUGUGUCAUUGUAUUUUGAUUUUGGCAGCCAUGUUUGCGAGAAAAGAUUUUCUCGUUGCAAUUUAAUAUUCAAGGUCGAUGUAAUGUAGGGUAGUUGGAAUAUCGUCAUCUGUUAAUAAGAUUUGAUUUGUACGAUGACUAUGUUCGCUUCCUUUCGAAGACGACUGGAUAUCUUAAGUCCAAAGGAGAAGAAUACUUCUUCAGAUCAUUUCCAUGGACUUUCGAUUUCAAUCCGAGGGAAGAGACAUUAAUGGCAGUCGUGUGGAUAUCUCUGCCAGGCCUACCUCCAAAAUUCUUUGCAAAGAGAUCGUUAUUAUCUAUAGCUUCAGCAGUGGGAAAACCGCUUGUUGUUGAUAAAGCGACGCAAGACAGAUCGAGAUCGAGCGCGGCAAGAGUUAAGGUGAUAGUGGACCUUAUGAAUAAACAUCCAGAUAAAGUCAUUCUGCACAUUUUAGAUGCUGCUUCAGGUAAAUCCAUCGAGUUCAAUCAACAAAUUGUUUUCGACAAUUUGCCGAUGUAUUGUGUUUUCUGUAAUAGGUAAGUCCAUCGAGUUCAAUCCACAAAUUGUUUUCGAUAAUUUACCGAAGUACUGUGUUUUCUAUAAACAUCAAGGACACGAUGAAAAGCAUGCAGGAUCAGAAAAGUAAAGGAUGGAACAGCUGAGGUGAUAGAUGAAAAUCUUGUUAAAAAUCUGUCUCGUAAUGAUAGGAAUGAAGUUGUCAAAUUAUUAGGAGAUGCAAGGGACUAUAUAAAUGUUAAACGAGCUGAAAAACGAGCUACUGAUCUACAAGAAAUAGAUGAUAUUGUAGGAGCAGAAUCAUCAAAACUGGUACAGAAUAAUGCAUUUUCUGCUAGCUACUGAUCUACAAGAAAUAGAUGAUAUUGUAGGAGCAGAAUCAUCAAAACUGGCACAAAAUAAUGCAAUUUCUGCUGAAAUAGUGAAUACAAAAAGAAAAUGAAGCACUAACUGAGAAUUUUGGUCAUGUUGAUUCAAGUGUACAUCAUGGCAUUGGAAAAGUUGGCACGAAUCAGAAGGAUGAGCUAAAGUCUCCUGAAAUUGCAGGGAUGAAUAUGAAGGAUGCUGAUCAAUAGUUCAAUUUGAAGAAUGAUGUAGUAAAUGAAAUGGUUGAUGCCUCGCAUAUAGAAUCCCCACUUGUGNNNNNNNNNNUGGCUGAUGCCUCGCAUAUAGAAUCCCCAGCAGAAUCCUUAAAGGAGAUGCAGAAGUUGGAAAAUUCUAAGGCUACAACUCAGGAUCGAGCAUAUGAUGCCUAUACUGAAAAAAACAAUCAACUAAUGAUUAUAUCACAAAUGGUGCACAGACUGAGCAGUCGGUCGAAAAGGAUGGACAACACUUUAAAUGCAAUGAGCAGCAGCAAUGUUUGUCAGCUGUUACAUCUUCAAAAUCAUUGCCAAUAAUAGAGAGUGUUUCUGGCUAUGUUUGUACACAGCAGAACACUGUUCCAUCCACAAUGCAAUGUAUGAGUAAUAAUGAGUUGGUAGUAUCCAAAUUAUAUAAUGCGGGAACAAUGGAAACCUAUGUAAUCCACAGCAGACAGUGUGCACAGGAUGGGCAGAGGAUUGGUCAUGAAAGUCAUCAGUACAGUAACAAUGUGCAUCUAGGAUCUGGCAAUGCAGUAAACUUGAAGACUUCAGAGCUGAUUGAACCGCAGCAGGAUAAGUAGAUGAUUAACAAAGAAGUCACUAACCUGCCUGCUCAAGCAAAAGGAAUUAUGGAAGCACUAAACACAGAUCACACAAAUGUGUAUUUGCAACCAAAAGAGAAGUUGUCAGCUUCUAAUACAACUGUUGAUUCAAACAAAACUGGACAACAACAUUCCGAUCGAGUUGAAAUCUGCCAAGAACCAUAUUUUUCCAACAGUUAAGAUAAGGGACAUGGUCAUUAAAUCAAAACUGUGGGAAGACCAAUGAGAAUACGACAAUGAAGAGAGUUGGAGAGAAGGACUGUUCGACGAAGACAGCACAGGAGAAGACUGUGAACCACAUGAGAAGUCAACACAGGCAGUUGCUGCAGUUCCUAGCUGUCCUGAGGAUCGACGUGUAACUGGAUGUAAUUACAAGGAUAAUGUGAAUGAAAGGGUUCAAACUCAACUUAGUGUGACUACUACUAAAGAUAUAGCUGAUGGCGAUGUCUCUAAGUAGAAAGAUGCAAUUCAAAGUCCAUAUCUUGAUAACUCUUUAAAUGGAAAAUCAAAGUCCAAGUGGGAAGCUCCAGAUUUCAUCCCAAGUAGGCAGUUGCUGCAAUUCCUAGCUGUCCUGAGGAUCGACGUGUAACUGGAUGUAAUUACAAGGAUAAUGUGAAUGAAAGGGUCCAAACUCAACUUAGUGUGACUACUACUAAAGAUAUAGCUGCUGGCGAUGUCUCUAAGUGGAAANNNNNNNNNNNNNNNNNNNNNNNNNNNNNNNNNNNNNNNNNNNNNNNNNNNNNNNNNNNNNNNNNNNNNNNNNNNNNNNNNNNNNNNNNNNNNNNNNNNNNNNNNNNNNNNNNNNNNNNNNNNNNNNNNNNNNNNNNNNNNNNNNNNNNNNNNNNNNNNNNNNNNNNNNNNNNNNNNNNNNNNNNNNNNNNNNNNNNNNNNNNNNNNNNNNNNNNNNNNNNNNNNNNNNNNNNNNNNNNNNNNNNNNNNNNNNNNNNNNNNNNNNNNNNNNNNNNNNNNNNNNNNNNNNNNNNNNNNNNNNNNNNNNNNNNNNNNNNNNNNNNNNNNNNNNNNUCCAGAUUUCAUUCCAAGUAAGCCUCCUUGUUGCACAUGCAUUCACUUCCUAGAUACACCACCAAAUACUGUGGAUGGCCACAUUGGAACGAGUAAGUCAGGUGCUAUCUUGAUGAAAAAUGCAACAUGGUCCAACAAGAAACCAAAUGUUAGGCAAAUUCCAAUGAGAGUAGCUACUACAAUUUCGUCAUCAAAGUCCAAUUGUUCAAAAAAUAAAAGAUGAUUCUUCAAUACUUAUUAAACAAGGUAGAGGAGAAUGAAAUAGAAAUACAUCUUCAAGAUUAUACAAGAUUGGGAAAUAAGGGACAACAAUCAACUAUGUACUACAUAUUAUUCUACCACUUUGUUAGUAUCCUGAUUUGUAAUCUCAUCACAGAGUAUGUUAUAAACUCUGUGAUGAUCAUAAAUUAUUUAGUCGCGUCAAGUUCUUAUUUUAUGCAUUCUUGUUUAUAAGUAAGGUUGCCAAGCCUCAAUAGGAUUAGCACGGUAAGGUUAGUCCGGUUUGUGUUUAACAAUACCGGUGCUAAUAUCCCCCUUAUUUGUACUUUUCCUAAGUGUUUGUAAUUUUCUUUUCAAUUAUUAAUAAAAAUCUAGCACUAGGCGCUUGCCUAGUGGAUUAGAAAAAAAAAA
rnacentral:lncRNA from 1 species